GACGUAGGGCGCGAGCGUUGUCCGGAUUUAUUGGGCGUAAAGAGCUCGUAGGCGGCUUGUUGCGUCGACCGUGAAAACCCGGGGCUCAACUUCGGGCUUGCGGUCGAUACGGGCGGGCUAGAGUUCGGUAGGGGAGACUGGAAUUCCUGGUGUAGCGGUGAAAUGCGCAGAUAUCAGGAGGAACACCGGUGGCGAAGGCGGGUCUCUGGGCCGAUACUGACGUGAGGAGCGAAAGCGUGGGGAGC
rnacentral:rRNA from 1 species